GACGAACCGUGCGAACGUUAUUCGGAAUCACUGGGCUUAAGGCGCGCGUAGGCGGCGUCGUAAGUCAGGGGUGAAAUCCCAACGGCUCAACCGUGGAAUUGCCUUUGAUACUGCGAUGCUCGAGGGAGGUAGGGGCAAGUGGAACUUCCAGUGGAGGCGGUGAAAUGUGUUGAGAUUGGAAGGAACGCCGGUGGCGAAAGCGACUUGCUGGAUCUCUUCUGACGCUGAGGCGCGAAAGCUAGGGUAGCGAACGGG
rnacentral:rRNA from 1 species